CAAACCCCUUUCAGAGUAACAAUUGAGGGCAAGUAUGGUGCCAGCAGCCGCGGUAAUUCCAGCUCCAAUAGCGUAUAUUAAAGUUGUUGCAGUUAAAAAGCUCGUAGUUGGAUGUUUGUUGGAAGCAAUCAUCAGUCCGCCCUAUUUGAUUAGGGUGUGAAUAUGAUGAAUUCCGGCAUAAUUGUCUCCCUAUUGUUAAUAUUUUGAUUGUUAGAUUCAUUUCUAACAAUACGAUUAUUAAUAAUAAGGGGGAAAUGUUACUUUGAGAAAAUUAGAGUGUUUGAAGCAGGCUUUUGUUGCCUUGAAUACUGCAGCAUGGAAUAACAAUAUAGGAUUUCGGUUCUAUUUUGUUGGUUCUUUUUUUAGGACUGAAAUAAUGAUUAAUAGGGACAGUUGGGGGCAUUCGUA
rnacentral:rRNA from 1 species